rnacentral:rRNA from 1 species
UUGGAGGGCAAGUCUGGUGCCAGCAGCCGCGGUAAUUCCAGCUCCAAUAGCGUAUAUUAAAGUUGUUGCAGUUAAAAAGCUCGUAGUUGAAUUUCGGGGUUAGUAGGUUGGUCAUGCCACUGGUAUGUACUGAUCUUACUGAUUCCUCCUUCCUGAUGAACCAUAAUGCCAUUAAUUUGGUGUUGCGGGGAGACUGGACUGUUACUUUGAAAAAAUUAGAGUGUUUAAAGCAGGCUAACGCUUGAAUACAUUAGCAUGGAAUAAUGAAAUAGGACGUUCGAUCCUAUUUUGUUGGUUUCUAGGAUUGACGUAAUGAUUAAUAGGGAUAGUUGGGGGCAUUAGUAUUCAAUUGUCAGAGGUGAAAUUCUUGGAUUUAUUGAAGACUAACUACUGCGAAAGCAUUUGCCAAGGAUGUUUUCAUUAAUCAAGAACGAAAGUUAGGGGAUCGAAGACGAUCAGAUACCGUCGUAGUCUUAACCAUAAACUAUGCCGACUAGGGAUCGGAUGAUGUUAAUUUUUUAAUAACUCAUUCGGCGCCUUACGGGAAAC